rnacentral:rRNA from 1 species
UGUUCCGCUUGCCGCGCCCCGCUUCCGUCCCGCCGCCCCCGCCCGUGGCGGACGGGUGAGUAAUAUAUGCGAACGGGCCAUAGAGGGGGGGGAAACUAGCCGAAAGACUAGGUAAUACCGCAUACAGAUCUACGGAUGAAAGUGGGGGAUCGUCAAACCCUCAGGUGCUUGGAGAGGCCAAUUUCUGAUUAUCUAGUUGGUGGGGUAAAAGCCUACCAAGGCAGCGACCAUCAGUAGCCCGGAUAAGAGGAUCAGCCGCACUGUUGCUGAUGAAACGCCCACACUCCUC